GUGUGUGUGUGGGGGGCUUUGGGUGCAGGUGGUUUAACUUAUUUAAGAGUGGCGCAAGAGUUACAAUAAUGUGGGAGUAGGUAAAAAGUGGUGGAGAGAAAGAGACAAUGGAAGAAGCAUUGAUUCUCGAUAUUAUGGACUUCAAAGUCAAUAAUAGGUUACCUGAUGCCGGCCUAACAAAACAAUAGAGAUGCACGAUAUAAAGAAGAUAACACUUUGCUCAAGGAUGGAGAGCUUCAUUACGUUUGUAGAAGACGGAAGGAGAGCGAGCGUUUGGAUAAGGUAGUCACCUCAGCUGCCAAGGCCAACAUAAUAUUCGAAGAAAUGCUCUGCAGUUCUAUCUGUGGUCACUACGAUGUGGAGAAAAACGCACAAUGCGGUGAUCAUCCGAAACGACUGGCCUGGCAUGGAGGCGGACAUCCGCAAAUGGACUACAGAAAGGGAAGUCUGGGGCCCGCUGCUUGAGCUGCUCCCCCCGUGACCCAACCCUGGAUAUAUAUAUGAAGAUGAGAUGAGGAGAGAUGACAAUUGACUUCAGGUGGCCCAGUGUCCUGAGUGCCAAAGAAAUCAGGCCAGUCUCAAAGAAAGUACCCACUACUGUACCACCAGAGGUAACAACCAUUUGAGCUGGUGGGGAGGAACCUCAUGAGGCACAGUUUAACAGAGUGGUAAUCAUUACAUUUGUGUGAUGGUUGAUUUUUCACCAAGUGGGCAGCGGCUACCCUCUGAAGAGUAACUCUGCAGAGGAGGUGAGCAAUUGUAUUCUUGAUACAACUUUAAGAACCAGGUAGCUAGAGAACCUUCCGUAUAUCUUAGGGAUAAGGAACUGCAGCCUGCAAUUUUCAGCAUCAGGACCAAGAACUAGUUAACAAAAAAGUAUAGCCCAUCUUUUGUUGUUGUUUGGCAGGAAGGCAAAUACCCAUCUUAUGUGCCACAGAACCUAAGGUGACACUGAGAAGGUGGAGCGUUUGCUGAUGAGGGAGGCGGUUUUUAAAGGACUCUCAAAGCAGACAAACGUACAUAAAACUAAAAUACAGUCCUACAAGCGUCCAAAAGAAGCAGGAGAAAAUCCGUAAACUGAAGCUGGAGAUCGUGUGCUCAAAAAAGGUGGAGGAACGCAGUAAAAAGGGGUCUCGCUGGGGCCUUUCAAAAUAAUCGCACUUUGCCAUGCUGGCGGGGGCAAAGUAUCGACCUCCUCACCCCCUUCAUUGAGCCAGAGGAGCGUCAAGAGAUAAUACCAGGGGAGAGUCAGCCCACCCAAAUUUUCCAACAAAUAUGGACUAGGGAAAAGGGUUGAGAUUCUGUGGUCCAAAA
ensembl:lncRNA